AUGGGCGCAGCCUGAUGGAGCAAAACCGCGUGAGUGAAGAAGGGUUUCGGCUCGUAAAGCUCUGUUGUUAAAGAAGAACACGUAUGAGAGUAACUGUUCAUACGUUGACGGUAUUUAACCAGAAAGUCACGGCUAACUACGUGCCAGCAGCCGCGGUAAUACGUAGGUGGCAAGCGUUAUCCGGAUUUAUUGGGCGUAAAGAGAGUGCAGGCGGUUUUCUAAGUCUGAUGUGAAAGCCUUCGGCUUAACCGGAGAAGUGCAUCGGAAACUGGAUAACUUGAGUGCAGAAGAGGGUAGUGGAACUCCAUGUGUAGCGGUGGAAUGCGUAGAUAUAUGGAAGAACACCAGUGGCGAAGGCGGCUACCUGGUCUGCAACUGACGCUGAGACUCGAAAGCAUGGGUAGCGAACAGGAUUAGAUACCCUGGUAGUCCAUGCCGUAAACGAUGAGUGCUAGGUGUUGGAGGGUUUCCGCCCUUCAGUGCCGGAGCUAACGCAUUAAGCACUCCGCCUGGGGAGUACGACCGCAAGGUUGAAACUCAAAGGAAUUGACGGGGGCCCGCACAAGCGGUGGAGCAUGUGGUUUAAUUCGAAGCUACGCUAAGAACCUUACCAGGUCUUGA
rnacentral:rRNA from 2 species